rnacentral:rRNA from 1 species
AUUGAACGCUGGCGGCAUGCCUUACACAUGCAAGUCGAACGGUAACGGGCCUUCGGGUGCCGACGAGUGGCGAACGGGUGAGUAAUACAUCGGAACGUGCCCGAUCGUGGGGGAUAACGGGGCGAAAGCUUUGCUAAUACCGCAUACGAUCUACGGAUGAAAGCAGGGGACCGCAAGGCCUUGCGCGGACGGAGCGGCCGAUGGCAGAUUAGGUAGUUGGUGGGAUAAAAGCUUACCAAGCCGACGAUCUGUAGCUGGUCUGAGAGGAUGAUCAGCCACACUGGGACUGAGACACGGCCCAGACUCCUACGGGAGGCAGCAGUGGGGAAUUUUGGACAAUGGGCGCAAGCCUGAUCCAGCCAUGCCGCGUGCAGGAUGAAGGCCUUCGGGUUGUAAACUGCUUUUGUACGGAACGAAAAGCCUUCUUUUAAUACAGGGGGGUCAUGACGGUACCGUAAGAAUAAGCACCGGCUAACUACGUG